GACGAACGCUGGCGGCGUGCCUAAUACAUGCAAGUAGAACGCACAGGAUGCACCGUAGUUUACUACACCGUAUUCUGUGAGUUGCGAACGGGUGAGUAACGCGUAGGUAACCUGCCUGGUAGCGGGGGAUAACUAUUGGAAACGAUAGCUAAUACCGCAUAAGAACAUUUACUGCAUGGUAGAUGUUUAAAAGGUGCAAAUGCAUCACUACCAGAUGGACCUGCGUUGUAUUAGCUAGUAGGUGAGGUAACGGCUCACCUAGGCGACGAUACAUAGCCGACCUGAGAGGGUGAUCGGCCACACUGGGACUGAGACACGGCCCAGACUCCUACGGGAGGCAGCAGUAGGGAAUCUUCGGCAAUGGGGGGAACCCUGACCGAGCAACGCCGCGUGAGUGAAGAAGGUUUUCGGAUCGUAAAGCUCUGUUGUUAAGGAAGAACGAGUGUGAGAAUGGAAAGUUCAUACUGUGACGGACUAACCAGA
rnacentral:rRNA from 1 species